AGAGUUUGAUCAUGGCUCAGGAUGAACGCUGGCGGCGUGCUUAACACAUGCAAGUCGAACGAUGAUCCCAGCUUGCUGGGGGAUUAGUGGCGAACGGGUGAGUAACACGUGAGUAACCUGCCCUUAACUCUGGGAUAAGCCUGGGAAACUGGGUCUAAUACCGGAUAUGACUCCUCAUCGCAUGGUGGGGGGUGGAAAGCUUUAUUGUGGUUUUGGAUGGACUCGCGGCCUAUCAGCUUGUUGGUGAGGUAAUGGCUCACCAAGGCGACGACGGGUAGCCGGCCUGAGAGGGUGACCGGCCACACUGGGACUGAGACACGGCCCAGACUCCUACGGGAGGCAGCAGUGGGGAGUAUUGCACAAUGGGCGCAAGCCUGAUGCAGCGACGCCGCGUGAGGGAUGACGGCCUUCGGGUUGUAAACCUCUUUCAGUAGGGAAGAAGCGAAAGUGACGGUACCUGCAGAAGAAGCGCCGGCUAACUACGUGCCAGCAGCCGCGGUAAUACGUAGGGCGCAAGCGUUAUCCGGAAUUAUUGGGCGUAAAGAGCUCGUAGGCGGUUUGUCGCGUCUGCCGUGAAAGUCCGGGGCUCAACUCCGGAUCUGCGGUGGGUACGGGCAGACUAGAGUGAUGUAGGGGAGACUGGAAUUCCUGGUGUAGCGGUGAAAUGCGCAGAUAUCAGGAGGAACACCGAUGGCGAAGG
rnacentral:rRNA from 1 species